CGGCAGGCCUAAGUCAUGCAAGUUGAACGGCUGUAGCAAUACAGCAGUAGCGGACGGGUGAGUAAUGUAUGGGAACGUAUCUUCUAGGUGGGAAUAUUCUUUGGAAACGAAGAGCAAUACCGCAUAAGUCCUACGGGAGAAAGUCGCAAGACGCUAGAUGAGCGGCCCAUAUUGGAUUAGCUAGUUGGUUAGGUAAUAGCUGACCAAGGCAACGAUCCAUAGCUGGUCUAAGAGGACGAUCAGCCACAUUGGGACUGAGACACGGCCCAGACUCCUACGGGAGGCAGCAGUCAGGAAUAUUGGACAAUGGGGCAACCCUGAUCCAAGCCAUGCCGCGUGAGUGUUAAGGUCUUCGGAUUGUAAAGCUCUUUUGUGUGGGAAAAUGAUGAUGGUACCACAAGAAUAAGCACCGGCUAACUUCGUGCCAGCCGCGGC
rnacentral:rRNA from 1 species